UGGGCUGUAGCUCAAUUGGGAGAGCGUCCCGACUGAAGUCGGGAAGGUCAGGGGGUUCGAAUCCCAUCAGCUCCACCA
rnacentral:tRNA from 1 species